AGAUUGAACGCUGGCGGAAUGCUUUACACAUGCAAGUCGAACGGCAGCACGGGACUCAGGCAACUGAGCCCUGGUGGCGAGUGGCGAACGGGUGAGUAACAUAUCGGAACGUACCCAGUCGUGGGGGAUAACUCUCCGAAAGGAGAGCUAAUACCGCAUACGUCCUGAGGGAGAAAGCGGGGGACCUAAGGGUAACUGAGGGCCUCGCGCGAUUGGAGCGGCCGAUAUCGGAUUAGCUAGUUGGUGAGGUAAAGGCUCACCAAGGCGACGAUCCGUAGCGGGUCUGAGAGGACGACCCGCCACACUGGAACUGAGACACGGUCCAGACUCCUACGGGAGCAGCAGGU
rnacentral:rRNA from 1 species